GUUCCCCGGGCGAUGCCGGGCGGCCGCAGCGCUGCCGGGCCGUUCCCGGCUCUCCCGGAGCCCCUCCGGCUCUCCCGGAGCCCCAGGCUGUUCCCUUCCACGUCUUCAGGUGUUUGCUCGGCACUCGGGACCCCUUCCCCGUGAAGGAGCUGUCUCUGCGAGAAACCGCCUGACGCCGCAGCGGGAUGGAUCCAGACUCACCGUGACGGGAAACGGUGAUAAAGGAUCAGCUGGGCAUCGCUCAGAUUUCAUUUUAACAGAAGUCGAGGAAAGAAUGCUACAAGAAGUUGAGUCAUUCAAAUGGUCUGCACAGAACCACAUUUUUGUGAAGACUGAACCCCUUCAUGUGGCUCUGCACUUGAAGCCACAUCUGCCUUUCUCCCCUUCCCAUGUCUGUGUGGGUGGAACAAUAGGAGUGAAGUGAGAUCUACCCCACAGGUCAGUCACACUGCCAUCAUCCACCCUGUCACACACUGUCCUGCGACCUGGGACUGACGUCAGCCACAUCUCUGAGCUGAGAGCUCCUACCUUGUGAAGAAGGGCAGCAUUAUACCCUGCCAACUUCAAAAAACACCUGGUAAAUAAUAAUGGUUUCCUAAACCAGCUGGGAAAAUUUAUGGAAUGAUGUAAAUCCUUAAUUGUAACAGUUGCUUUGGUGACAGCCUCAGUCAGCAUCCACAAGCACACGCAGGCAGAGGCUUCAUUGAGCAAUUGUGCAGUGCUGUCAGCAAACCCUGCUGCCUCUGGCCUGAGCUGAUGGCAGUACUGUGAAGGCAAUGUUUGAUUUCUGUGUCACCUGCAUGUUCACACAAGCGUCCUUACCAAGGGCUGGGGAUCCUCAGCAUCAACACAGGCUGUUGCUAAGGUGUGUCCCUUCACAGGGUGCCAAACCUCUGCAUUACAAAAUUAAUUUCCUCUGGCAAGGUGCAGCAGCUGAAGUACACAGUGCAGCAGCACUGGGCACCGUCCUAAGGCAAUCACUCUGGAUUUUAGAGACCAAAAUUUGCAUGGAUAUUCACAAUUAUUUCCCCACCUGGGUUUGCUCACCAUAUAUUUGAGUGUGGUUUAGAAGCUUUGAAAUUCCGAAUGGCUUUGCCAAAUGAAGAAAACUGAGGAGCACUGUAAGAGAAAGUCUUAGUAAACAACAGUUGGACAUCUGCUUUGAGCUCUGGUGAGUGCAUUGUGCAGUUCAUAACACUCAUUUGACUUGCAGUGUGCAUUUCCAUCUGGAAAACAGAAAUCAUCUUCCUUAGCCUUCCUCAGCCCAAACAAGAUUUGCCAUCUGGUAGUCUUAUGCUCUGUGGGUUUCUGGUGUAUUUAAAUGCUUCUGAAGGCACCAACCACUGCUAAUGCUGGUGAGAUACUCAGAUUGAAUCAGAACUACAUAUCUACUUUGCCUUAACUAUUUUGUAGUUAAAAGGAGUGGUAAUAAACUUGCUUGAGCAUCCUCUGACUAUGAUCCAUAUUACAUCAACUAGUGAUUCCUUCAUUUUAUCCAUCCUGCCAUAUGAUACAGGCUUUAUCUUUUAUAUGUGGCCUCACAAACAUAUCAGCAAAUAUUAUGAGUUGUUACAUCCACGGCUUAAUGUCACUAAAAUAUCUCAGAUGGCCACUCUGCUCCUGCACAGCCUGGGCAGCCUCACACAAGGUCACUGUGGCACAGUCAAUGCACCUUGCACAGCAGAUGCUCAUAGAUGAGGGUGAUGCCAUGAGUGCAGUCUCUCUGCAGCUUGAGCUGCUUUCCCCUUCACAUAGCCUCUCAGCAUCCCAAAAAUCCAGACACACAAGUCUGGAGGGGAGGAUAUUCCCAUACACACAUGUGUUUCCAUUCACCUCAGCUAUAACAUGUAGGGACUGCCAUGGGGUCACUGGGUCUCUCUGCCUCUCCUGUCCAAACUAUUCCAGUUUAUGAAUACUGCUUGUUAGCACGCUGGUUUGAAUUCAAUCAGUAAAUAUUUGUUACUCAAUUCAAUUGCUGUUCAGGCCUUAGUCUUUGCAGUGUGAAAUAACUGCAGGGAACCAGAAACACCAGACUUAGGUGUAUAAAUACCACGGAAAGUUGGAGGCUGAGGAUCCUGAGACAAAAGAGGCCCAGUAAGGCUGCCUGUCUGAUCAAGGAGACAAAGAGCUGUCUGUACUGCUGUAGAAGAAAGCCAAAGUAAGAGCUCUCGAGUAAUUUAUUACAGAUUUAAGGAACUGACUCCAACUUCUUCUACAAAAAAAAAAGCCUUUGGAACUGCAUAAAAAUCAAUGGGAUUGUGGCCUUAGUCCCUUCUAACACCAUUUAAAUAUAUGAUUCAUAUAGCAUGAGUAAUAAUAAUUUAAAAAAAUCCAAAACAUCUUCCCUCUAUUUUAUUGCUUUACUAGCACUGAUACACUUAUUUCAAAAAAAUCUUCCAGUAGCUUCUACAUAAAAUGAUAAAAGCAUUUUAGCCACAGCAGUGCUUUGCAGGUACACAUAUUAACAUUUGAAUCUUAAACUCUCAUUUGGGGCAUGUGCUUCAGAGGCUUUUCUGUGCAAGAGAAUUCCUCUGUUCACAUGCAUGAGGACACCAUUGUUUGUGUGUGAGAAAAAAAAAUCCUGAAGAUGUGUUAAUUCCUUAUUUCUGAAUAAGCACAUGGCAGUUUUUAAUGUUACUAUAGGAAAUGUAUUUUUACACAAUAUAAAACAUGAGAGAAUCAACACUUUUUUUUUACUCAUACUAGCUAUGUUUUCUAUGGAGAUAAAUCUUUAAGAUCGUCUCUGACAAGUCAAGACCAGGGCAUAGGUCAGAUAACAGUGAAAACUUAGGGAAACAGUUCCUUCCAUUGCCUGCUGGGGUUCCAGGCAGAUCUGUUGGGUUUUUUUCUGUCUGAGCCAUCAGUUGAUUUAUGGUUGCAUUUGCUUAUAGCUGUGUUUCUACAAAAAUAAUGGAGGCACUGGAUAUUUUAAACUAAACACUAUUCACAAACAGUCAGAGAGAGAUAAACUUUAAUAAAACUAUUUGGGAGAACUGUCUGCUUCACUGAUAAAGGAUAACUCAGGACACCCAGAUGUUUCCAUGGUGUAAACUUUAUGAUGAAAAGCCCACACUGUUUCCAUUGACUGCUGCUUGCAAAUUUCAGACCUUGAAGGGGUCUGGUCUGUACUUUUGCAAGUCUGCUCCCAAGAGCAGCUGGGCAAUCCCAGCUGCAGUCACGGAAACAUUUGGGUCUGCAGGGGCAUCUGGAGCACAUCUGGUUGAAGCAGGUCCACUUAGAUUGGGUUGUUCAAGGACUUUAGAAUGAUAAAAUUAUUUCAGUCCAGCUCCAAAUUAAAUUCACUGUGUAUCCAGUGAAUCAUCACGUGCAAGGGGAGAGCUGAAUCUCAGGAGGAACAUUUGCUCAUUAGAGUGGCUGGGAAUUAGUCAGUGGUAGAAAAAGCACUUGGCUCCCUCAUGAAACCUCAAUGAAUAGAAAGGCUUAUACGAGCUGAAGAGCUAACUUUCCUUAAAUCCUGUGCUAAUAUAUGGUUAUUGGGAUGUGAAAUACAGUGCUCCAUUCAGACAGGAAGGUUUUUCUUCAAAUGAAGGGCACAAUCUGCAUUUUUCUACACCAUUCAUCAAAUGCACUGCUAGAAGUUUGUCCUUCCAGUUUUGGAAGGUAGUAGCUCGAAUUAGUGAUAAUCCUAUAAUAGUGAAAUUAAAGGAAUAGACUUGAACUUUGAAAUGUUUUAUUUGGUGUCCAGUAAACUGUUUGAAAAGGGGUUCUUCAGGGUAAGCAAGCUAUGAGCAAGGCUGAGGGCCCUGUAACCCUUCAAGGUGGCUUACAGAAACCAGAGGUCGAUAGCCACCAUAACAGGCACAAAAUGCACAGAAGCCUGUGAAUGCAAGAUUUGGUCCAAGAAAUAAACUAUUUGGCCCAGUGGCACUAAACUCAGAUGAGAGACAGUGGAGCAGAGCCAAUGACAACAGAUGGGAGCACACGUGAUCACUGCAGCUCUGCUUCUUGGAUGUAGCAGUGGAGCUGGAAGCCUGUGGCAUUCCUGUGACCUGGCUCCUCAUGCCUACACUGACCUCAGUGAAAAAGUGCCAUGGCUUGAGGCAAGCAGGGCUGUGGAGCCUCUGGGCAGCACCCCCAGCAUCUGCUCACAGAUAAGCCACUGCCACUGAAAGGGCAACACAUGGACAGGGGCUACUGAGUCAGGCACAGUGAGGUUCACCACAAGUGGUUCAGUGGGGUCAUCCUUUAGCCCUGAGGAUACUGGAACAGGUAAACUCUUGCAUUAAAGUUGUUUUAUGUGCUAAUAUAGGAAUCUUACUUGACUUGCAUCAACAACUGACUAGUGCAAUGGCACUGAAAAGGAUCAAGCACCUAAAUACCUGGUUCAUUUGGAGAUGAAACUGUGUUUGGCUAGAACAACAAAAGACCCACCAGGUCCCUGUGAAGAAAAAAGAGGUUUUGAGCCCUUCUUUAAGUUAUAUUUUUACAGCAGGUGCUCAUCUAACUACGAUUUUGUGAGGCACAACUUAGUGUGCCUUGCUUCUAUCCUUUUAACUUUGCUGUAAUUGCAGGACUUCUUGGUUGAUUAAAGAUCUUAUUUAUGAGUUCAUAAAUUCCCAUUGUCAAGUAGAGGAACUUUCAGGAUGUGUGCCCUAAAAAUGCUGAAAUGCUG